rnacentral:rRNA from 1 species
UUCCUACGGGAGGCAGCAGUGGGGAAUUUUGGACAAUGGGCGCAAGCCUGAUCCCCUGCCGCGUGAGUGAAGAAGGCCUUCGGGUUGAAACAUCUUUCGGCGGGGACGAAACGGUCCGUGCCAACACCACGGACUAAUGACGGUACCCGCAGAAGAAGCACCGGCUAACUACGUGCCAGCAGCCGCGGUAAUACGUAGGGUGCAGGCGUUAAUCGGAAUUACUGGGCGUAAAGCGUGCGUAGGCGGUUUGUUAAGACAGGUGUGAAAUCCCCGGGCUUAACCUGGGAACUGCGCUUGUUACUGGCAGACUUGAGUGUGGCAGAGGGGGGUGGAAUUCCACGUGUAGCAGUGAAAUGCGUGGAGAUGUGGAGGAACACCGGAUGGCGAGCAGCCCCCUGGGCUAACACUGACGCUGAUGCACGAAAGCGUGGGGAGCAAACAGGAUUAGAUACCCUGGUAGUCCACGCCCUAAACUAUGUCAACUGGUUGUCGGGGAAGAAAUUCCUUGGUAACKAAGCUACGCGUGAAGUUGACCGCCWGG